rnacentral:rRNA from 1 species
AUUGAACGCUGGCGGCAUGCCUUACACAUGCAAGUCGAACGGUAACAGGUCUUCGGAUGCUGACGAGUGGCGAACGGGUGAGUAAUACAUCGGAACGUGCCCGAGAGUGGGGGAUAACGAGGCGAAAGCUUUGCUAAUACCGCAUACGAUCUCAGGAUGAAAGCAGGGGACCGCAAGGCCUUGCGCUCACGGAGCGGCCGAUGGCAGAUUAGGUAGUUGGUGGGAUAAAAGCUUACCAAGCCGACGAUCUGUAGCUGGUCUGAGAGGACGACCAGCCACACUGGGACUGAGACACGGCCCAGACUCCUACGGGAGGCAGCAGUGGGGAAUUUUGGACAAUGGGCGCAAGCCUGAUCCAGCCAUGCCGCGUGCAGGAUGAAGGCCUUCGGGUUGUAAACUGCUUUUGUACGGAACGAAACGGCUCUUUCUAAUAAAGAGGGCUAAUGACGGUACCGUAAGAAUAAGCACCGGCUAACUACGUGCCAGCAGCCGCCGUAAUAC